rnacentral:rRNA from 1 species
GACGAACGCUGGCGGCGUGCUUAACACAUGCAAGUCGAACGGUAAGGCCCUUCGGGUACGACGAGUGGCGAACGGGUGAGUAACACGUGGGUGAUCUGCCCUGCACUUCGGGAUAAGCCUGGGAAACUGGGUCUAAUACCGGAUAGGACUCCUGGCUUCAUGGUUGGGGGUGUAAAGCUUUGCGGUGUGGGAUGGGCCCGCGGCCUAUCAGCUUGUUGGUGGGGUAAUGGCCUACCAAGGCGACGACGGGUAGCCGGCCUGAGAGGGUGACCGGCCACACUGGGACUGAGAUACGGCCCAGACUCCUACGGGAGGCAGCAGUGGGGAAUAUUGCACAAUGGGCGCAAGCCUGAUGCAGCGACGCCGCG